rnacentral:tRNA from 1 species
UGCGGGAUGGAGCAGUGGUAGCUCGUCGGGCUCAUAACCCGAAGGUCGCAGGUUCGAAUCCUGCUCCCGCUACCA